UUCCAGACUCCUACGGGAGGCAGCAGUGAGGAAUAUUGGUCAAUGGGCGCAGGCCUGAACCAGCCAAGUCGCGUGAGGGAAGACUGCCCUAUGGGUUGUAAACCUCUUUUAUAAGGGAAGAAUAAUGACUACGUGUAGUCAGAUGCCCGUACCUUAUGAAUAAGCAUCGGCUAACUCCGUGCCAGCAGCCGCGGUAAUACGGAGGAUGCGAGCGUUAUCCGGAUUUAUUGGGUUUAAAGGGAGCGUAGGUGGAUUGUUAAGUCAGUUGUGAAAGUUUGCGGCUCAACCGUAAAAUUGCAGUUGAAACUGGCAGUCUUGAGUACAGUAGAGGUGGGCGGAAUUCGUGGUGUAGCGGUGAAAUGCUUAGAUAUCACGAAGAACUCCGAUUGCGAAGGCAGCUCACUGGACUGCAACUGACACUGAGUCUCGAAAGUGUGGGUAUCAAACAGGAUUAGAUACCAUAGUAUC
rnacentral:rRNA from 1 species